GAUGAACGCUGGCGGCGUGCCUAAUACAUGCAAGUCGAGCGAACGGACGAGAAGCUUGCUUCUCUGAUGUUAGCGGCGGACGGGUGAGUAACACGUGGAUAACCUACCUAUAAGACUGGGAUAACUUCGGGAAACCGGAGCUAAUACCGGAUAAUAUUUUGAACCGCAUGGUUCAAAAGUGAAAGACGGUCUUUCUGUCACUUAUAGAUGCAUCCGCGCUGCAUUAGCUAGUUGGUAAGGUAACGGCUUACCAAGGCAACGAUGCAUAGCCGACCUGAGAGGGUGAUCGGCCACACUGGAACUGAGACACGGUCCAGACUCCUACGGGAGGCAGCAGUAGGGAAUCUUCCGCAAUGGGCGAAAGCCUGACGGAGCAACGCCGCGUGAGUGAUGAAGGUCUUCGGAUCGUAAAACUCUGUUAUUAGGGAAGAACAUAUGUGUAAGUAACUGUGCACAUCUUGACGGUACCUAAUCAGAAAGCCACGGCUAACUACGUG
rnacentral:rRNA from 1 species